rnacentral:rRNA from 1 species
CGAUCAGCCACACUGGGACUGAGACACGGCCCAGACUCCUACGGGAGGCAGCAGUGGGGAAUCUUGCGCAAUGGGCGAAAGCCUGACGCAGCGACGCCGCGUGGGGGAUGAAGGCCUUCGGGUUGUAAACCCCUUUCAGCAGGGACGAAGCGAAAGUGACGGUACCUGCAGAAGAAGCGCCGGCUAACUACGUGCCAGCAGCCGCGGUAAUACGUAGGGCGCGAGCGUUGUCCGGAAUUAUUGGGCGUAAAGAGCUCGUAGGCGGCCUGUCGCGUCCGCUGUGAAAUCCCGGGGCUUAACCCCGGGCCUGCAGUGGAUACGGGCUGGCUGGAGGCAGGCAGGGGAGAACGGAAUUCCUGGUGUAGCGGUGAAAUGCGCAGAUAUCACGAGGAACACCAGUGGCGAAGGCGGUGGUCUGGGCCGGUACUGACGCUGAGGAGCGAAAGCGUGGGGAGCGAACAGGAUUAGAUACCCUGGUAGUCCACGCCGUAAACGUUGGGCACUAGGUGUGGGACCCUAUCGACGGGUUCCGUGCCGCAGCUAACGCAUUAAGUGCCCCGCCUGGGAGUACGGCCGCAAGGCUAAA